UCUAAUAUGGCAGAUUAGUGCAUUGGAUUUAAACCCCAAUUAUAAAGUUUUUCUUUUUUUAGAA
rnacentral:tRNA from 1 species